rfam:Gossypium raimondii Chr03_contig_1068, whole genome shotgun sequence.
UGUUAAAAUUACAUCCAUUUCUACUCUUAAAAACAAGCUUAGUUGAUGGAAUAAUCAAGCAGUUACAUUAGGCGUGCUAUGUGUACCUCAUGCUGAUAUAUAGGGAUCAGUUUUUAACGGUAGAAAUAAGUGAAUUUUUAAACC